rnacentral:rRNA from 1 species
UACAGAGGUCUCAAGCGUUGUUCGGAUUCAUUGGGCGUAAAGGGUGCGUAGGCGGCGCGGUAAGUCGGGUGUGAAAUCUCGGAGCUUAACUCCGAAACUGCAUUCGAUACUGCCGUGCUUGAGGACUGGAGAGGAGACUGGAAUUUAGGUGUAGCGGUGAAAUGCGUAGAUAUCGUAAGGAAGGCACAGUGGAGCGAAGGUCCGGUCG